rnacentral:rRNA from 1 species
UACGAAGGGGGCUAGCGUUGCUCGGAAUCACUGGGCGUAAAGCGCACGUAGGCGGCUUUUUAAGUCAGGGGUGAAAUCCUGGAGCUCAACUCCAGAACUGCCUUUGAUACUGGAGAGCUUGAGUCCGGAAGAGGUGAGUGGAACUCCGAGUGUAGAGGUGAAAUUCGUAGAUAUUCGGAAGAACACCAGUGGCGAAGGCGGCUCACUGGUCCGGUACUGACGCUGAUGUGCGAAAGCGUGGGGAGCAAACAGG